rnacentral:lncRNA from 1 species
GGCCGGAUACUCAAAACAACCCGUAAGUUACAAGGUCGAGGACGUUGUAACCGCCUUACAACAUUGUAACUUACGAACUCCUUACAAUAUUGUAAGUGACCCAUACUCAAAAAAAAUUUACAAUGUUGUAAGCACAUUGUAAGGCUAAUGUCAACAUCGUAAGUUAAUUCCCUAGGCUGCCAAGAGAGGGCACCUCGGUAGGUGAUUGACCAAUCAGCAGUCAGCCUCGUAGACGUAACGGCCAAUGAGAAGCCACAAAUCUCAGCUGUUUUAUCACCGCACUACACCAAAGGUAAACAACGUCAUGGAAGGUCCAACUCAAAAGAAAAGAAGACCAAAUUUCUCAGACGAAGAGAUGUUGGCUUUAAUAGAAGCCGUGGCAACGAAGAGAAAUGUGGUUCUGGGUAAAUCAAAUAACAGAAUAACCGCACAAGUGAAAAAUAACGCCUAGGAGAGUGUGACUAAGGAAGUGAGUCUUGUCGCUCGCGUACCGAGGAAUGUGAAUGUAGGGCGUAGGAAGUUCACAGACCUAAGAGCAGCUUGAAAAAAAAGGCAGCCCAAGAGGAAAAACACAUGGGAGGAAUAGAUGUUGCAGAACCAACUCCUGCGCCAUCUGGGAUAGCAUCUCAGGUCAUAAGACUCGAAAGUUGUUGUAACAUUGGAUGAGGGCACUCCAGAGGAGCAAGAAAUGACAAUAUCCAUUGUGUCAAUGGACCACACUUACUCUUCAGAAUUACCUCCUUUUUUAAUAGAAGACAGUGACGCUCAGGAUGGAGGUAGCAGGCAUGGUCAUAGCAGAAGAUCAGAAGAAAGGAGAAUUUUGCCUGACAUGCUUCAGAUACAAGCAAAUAUAGAAAUUCACUUGAAACAGCUUGUAGGCUCAGUAAAAGACAUUGCAUCAGCAUUACAAACAAUUGCUGGUGUUAUAAAAGAUAAGGCAUAAGUUCUUAUUUUUAUCAAAUUAUGAAAUAUUUUAGUUUUUCUCCCAUUCAAUUCUAGUCUUAAUCUACCCAUUUAUAGUACUCAGUUGACAUUAAUUUGUGAUAGGCAUUUGUACAUUUAACAAAGUCAUAAUGUUAAGUUAUUGCUUGAGAGACUAAGUCUAAAACAAGUCUUUAUUUCGGAGUUCCUUUAUUUCUUUAGUACAGACUAAGGCAAAAAUCCAUUAUAUAUUAUUUAUUUUUUGUUCGCAUUAAUGUUUGCACUGAGGUUGUGAAAAUUGUUUUUUGGUUUUAUGAUAAAGGUUAAGACCAUUUUAUCCAGUUUAGAAGAAUCAUAUUUUUAUAGGGAGGGAAUUCAGGAUUUUAUUAUUUUUUUAGGAAAAAAAUUAUUUCAUUUUUUUUUUAAUUCUGACAGGUGCACUGUUUGGUUUCUGCAUAGGUUAUAUAUUUUCCUUUUAGGUUAAGGAAGUAACAAAUUUUUGUUGUUUACACAUGGCAAUAAUAAAGUUAAACUAUAAUAGUUCUGGUGCUGUCAAUUAAGAUUGAUUUUCUUUGUUGAUACUAAGACAGAGCUGUAUUUAAGUUUAAUUUAUUUUUCUGGUUUUGAUGAUGUAGGCUGAGAAAGAAAGCAAAUAUAUACUUAUUGCUAUUCUAAUAUUUAUGGUUAACAUAGUAAUUAAGCUUUGAGGGACAGCUUUACUUGUAUUUUAAAAAUGUUGUAUUUCUUUAUUUGUAUAUUUAUAUGUCUGAAAUUACUUGCUUCUAAAGAUUUUUGUUUAUUUCACUUCUAAGGCAACCCAACUUUGGUUGUGGUCUGUCUUGUGGUCAUAAAGCACCAUGACAAAAAUAUGUAACUUACAUUUUGUACUUUUGAGCAGUAUUGCUUUGUAUGUAUGUGUAGAUACUUUCAUAUUAUUUUUGUGAUGUAUCAUUAUGGUAUUUUUCUUACCAGUCUUAUAUUUUUAUAAUCACAGUCUGAAAUAAAGUUUUACUUUUUAA